rnacentral:tRNA from 1 species
UCCCUGGUGGUCUAGUGGUUAGGGUUGGGUGCUCUUAUUGCUGUGGCCCAGGUUCAAUUCUUGGUCAGGGAA